rnacentral:rRNA from 1 species
GGGUGGUAAUGCUGGAUGCUCCAACUUGACGCAUGUCUUGUUGGGGAAAAGUGUUUAGUGGCAUGGGGGAUGGGGUCGCGUCCUAUCAGCUUGUAGGCGGGGUAAUGGCCCACCUAGGCUUCGACGGGUAGCCGGCCUGAGAGGGCGGACGGCCACAUUGGGACUGAGAUACGGCCCAGACUCCUACGGGAGGCAGCAGUGGGGAAUAUUGCGCAAUGGGGAAAACCCUGACGCAGCGACGCCGCGUGCGGGAUGAAGGCCUUCGGGUUGUAAACCGCUUUUGUAUUGGGGAGCAAGCCUUUUGGGUUGAGUGUACCUUUCGAAUAAGCGCCGGGCUAACUACGUGCCAGCAGCCGCGGGUAAAUA